rnacentral:rRNA from 1 species
UGGAAGGUUACGAGGACCUGUUAGAUCCUUUGUUGGGUCGAAGCGGAGAAUUUAAGCCCCAGUAAACGGCGGUGGUAACUAUAACCAUCCUAAGGUAGCGAAAUUCCUUGUCGGGUAAGUUCCGACCUGCACGAAUGGAGUAACGAUUUCCCUACUGUCUCCACCAUGAACUCGGUGAAAUUGCAUUACGAGUAAAGAUGCUCGUUACGCGCAGCAGGACGGAAAGACCCCGGGACCUUUACUAUAGUUUGGUAUUGGUGAUUGGGACGGUUUGUGUAGGAUAGGUGGGAGACGUUGAUGCGGCCACGCUAGUGGUGGUGGAGUCGUUGUUGAAAUACCACUCUGAUCGGAUUGAGCAUCUAACCUUGGCCCAUGAUCUGGGUUGGGGACAGUGCCUGGUGGGUAGUUUAACUGGGGCGGUUGCCUCCCAAAAUGUAACGGAGGCGCCCAAAGGUUCCCUCAGCCUGGUUGGUAAUCAGGUGGUGAGUGUAAGUGCACAAGGGGGCUUGACUGUGAGACUGACAGGUCGAGCAGGGACGAAAGUCGGGACUAGUGAUCUGACGGUGGCUUGUGGAUGCGCCGUCACUCAACGGAUAAAAGGUACCCCGGGGAUAACAGGCUGAUCUUGCCCGAGCGCUCAUAGCGACGGCAUGGUUUGGCACCUCGAUGUCGGCUCGUCGCAUCCUGGGGCUGGAGUCGGUCCCAAGGGUUGGGCUGUUCGCCCAUUAAAGCGGCACGCGAGCUGGGUUCAGAACGUCGUGAGACAGUUCGGUCCCUAUCCGCUGCGCGCGGAGGAAUCUUGAGAAGGGCUGUCUUUAGUACGAGAGGACCGAGACGGACUGACCUCUGGUGUGCCAGUUGUUCUGCCAAGAGCAUGGCUGGUUGGCUACGUCGGGUUGUGAUAACCGCUGAAAGCAUCUAAGCGGGAAGCACGCUUCAAGAUAAGGGUUCCCACAGGAGUGUUCCUGGUAAGGUCCCCGAGAGAUGAUCGGGUUGAAAGGCCAGACGUGGACGCAUCGUAAGGUGUGGAGCUGACUGGUACUAAUAGACCGAGGACUUUCAUUA